UACGUAGGGUGCAAGCGUUGUCCGGAAUUAUUGGGCGUAAAGAGCUCGUAGGCGGUCUGUCGCGUCGGCUGUGAAAACUCGGGGCUCAACUCCGAGCUUGCAGUCGAUACGGGCAGGCUAGAGUUCGGCAGGGGAGACUGGAAUUCCUGGUGUAGCGGUGAAAUGCGCAGAUAUCGGGAGGAACACCUGUGGCGAAAGCGGCUCACUGGACCACAACUGACGCUGAGGCGCGAAAGCAUGGGGAGCGAACAGG
rnacentral:rRNA from 1 species